rnacentral:rRNA from 3 species
CUACGGGAGGCAGCAGUGGGGAAUCUUGGACAAUGGGGGCAACCCUGAUCCAGCCAUGCCGCGUGAGUGAUGAAGGCCUUAGGGUCGUAAAGCUCUUUCGCCUGUGAUGAUAAUGACAGUAGCAGGUAAAGAAACCCCGGCUAACUCCGUGCCAGCAGCCGCGGUAAUACGGAGGGGGUUAGCGUUGUUCGGAAUUACUGGGCGUAAAGCGCGCGUAGGCGGACUGGAAAGUUGGGGGUGAAAUCCCGGGGCUCAACCCCGGAACUGCCUCCAAAACUAUCAGUCUAGAGUUCGAGAGAGGUGAGUGGAAUUCCGAGUGUAGAGGUGAAAUUCGUAGAUAUUCGGAGGAACACCAGUGGCGAAGGCGGCUCACUGGCUCGAUACUGACGCUGAGGUGCGAAAGUGUGGGGAGCAAACAGGAUUAGAUACCCUGGUAGUCCACACCGUAAACGAUGAAUGCCAGUCGUCGGGUAGCAUGCUAUUCGGUGACACACCUAACGGAUUAAGCAUUCCGCCUGGGGAGUACGGUCGCAAGAUUAAAACUCAAAGGAAUUGACGG